UCCCUGGUGGCUCAGAGGUCAAAGCGUCCACCUUCAAUGUGGGAGACCUGGGUUUGAUCCCUGGGUUGAGAA
rnacentral:tRNA from 1 species